CCCUUAGAUGUUCUGGGCCGCACGCGUGCUACACUGACCGGCGCAACAAGUUUCUUUCCUUGGCUCGAUAGGCCUGGGUAAUCUUUGAACGCCGGUCGUGAUGGGGAUAGAUCCUUGCAAUUUUUGAUCUUCAACGAGGAAUUCCUAGUAAAUGCGAGUCAUCAUCUCGCGUUGAUUACGUCCCUGCCCUUUGUACACACCGCCCGUCGCACCUACCGAUUGAAUGGUCCGGUGAAGCCUCGGGAUUGCGAAUGCUUCGUGCGGACGCGAGAACUUGGCUAAACCUUACCAUUUAGAGGAGGGUGAAGUCGUAACA
rnacentral:rRNA from 1 species